GUGGUACCGAAGCCGGGCGAGUGAGACUUGAGUACUUAGGAGUCUGUGCGAAGUGCUUGGCAGCAGCUCCAAGUGCUGGAGGCAGUCGCCGUACAUGGUGGGAACCUCCGACCAGGCUGAAAAUUCUGGAAGAGGGGCUGGGUGAGCUGCUCCUCUGCUUAGGAUGGCAGUGAUGUGGAGUGACCCCGAGUUCCCUCCGGUUGCUAACUUGGCUCCAGGCAGGGGCGUGGCCCACCGUGGAGGACUCAGGGAGGCACAGGAUGGGCUGCUGUAACAGAACACCACAAUCGUCUCAGUUCUGGAGGCUGGAGGUGUGAAAUCCACAUGUUGGCUGGCUGGUUCUUGCUGAGGGCUGAGGGGAGCUGUGUUCCAGGCUUCAAUCCUUGGCCUGUAGAUGCCUCUCCCUAUGUCUCUUCACAUUGUCUUCCCUUUAUGCAUAUUUGUUUGUGUCCAAAUUUCCCCUUUUUAUAAGGACACUAGUCCUACUGGAUUAAGACUCAUCCUACUGACAUCAUUUGAAUUUGAUUACCUCUGUAAAGACCUUAUCUUGAAAUAAGGUCAUAGCCUGGGGUACUGGGGGUUAGGACUCCAAGGGUUCUAAGUCAACCCACAAUAGGUCUUGACAUUGAUUUUAGUAAUUUCUUGAUGGGAAGCGGUCCCCUGUUAGGGCUCUUAGUCAUUGGAGUUGAGCUGCUAGCUUUGGCCACAGGACAGUGUCCCUUCCACAGGUACGCUGAGAAUGUAUCCUGCUGAUCGAGGGGCAGGAAAUAGCCAGAUAAGGAUUUGUCAUUGCACAAGAGGUUUCCUAUCUGGCGGCCAGCUGCAGGGCUUUCAGGAAAGUCACUGGGGCCAUGUUCAAGUUCUGGAAAACACCUAAGCCUCUCUCUGUCUAUAGGUGAAGGUGAAGGCUUCUAUCUGAGUGACCACACUUGGACCAGGCCUCUAUGGGACCGAGGCCUCCAAAGAUGCUCUGCUUGGGAGCAGGAGCCUGUUUGGGGCCAGUGGGGCUUCUUAACUGAGUUCAGUGGGGCUUUCCCUUGCCCAGCCCUGUCUUCCUGACCCUCUCAUUUGUUAUACCAAAACUGAAGGUGGCAAUGGAUAUCCUGUGAGUGAGAGAGAACAUUUUGCCAAUUAACUGUGUUGAAUGAGAUCAGUAAACAUCACAAUUGACAAUCUUAGCACCAUUGAUUAAUAUCGACUGAGCACCUACUGUGUGCUGGGCAUCAUGGGAAUAUUGAUUAAGCACUGCAAAAACUAGAUUGCAAAACUAGCCUUGAUUCUCUACCUGCCCCUGUAACCAUGGUCCUUGCAAUGUGACAUUGCUGCUCCUGCCAUCAGAAGAUGGAGUCUAUUUUCCCACCCUUGAACCUGGGUUGGAUUUGUCACUUGGAUUGGUCAAUAUGACUAUGGAAGUGGUGUUUAUGCCAGUUUUGAGCCUAGAUAGACCUUCAGAGAUCUUGCAUGAUUUGACCCUUGCUCUUGGACCCACGUGGCUCUGUGUUAACUAGCGUGAGCUUGCUUGCUGGUGGAUGAGAGACCUGUGGCCCAGUUACCUCAGUUGAGAGCUAGCCAUCUCCCCAGAAGCAGAGGCCUCUGGCUGCCCAGGUACUCAGCCCAAAUGCCUGAUGGAAUCCAGCUGAGACCAGAAGAAUUGCCCAGCUGAGCCCAGCCUAAAAUGCUGACCUGUAAAAUCAUGAACUAAAUAAAUAUUUAUUGUUUUAAGACCCUUCUA